AUGAGGCCCUGUCCCGCCCUGUAUAGGAAGUUACGCCUGUUCCUGACCAGUUAUGCAGUUAGAAGCUGUCUCCACUCCUACACCGGAAGUCAGAUCCUGUCUCCACUCCUACACCGGGAGUCAGAUCCUGUCUCCAUCCUGUCACAGGAAGUCAGAUCUUGUCUCCAUCCUGUCACAGGAAGUCAGAUCCUGUCUCCAUCCUACACAGGAGUCAGAUCCUGUCUCCAUCCUACACAGGGAGUCAGAUCCUGUCUCCAUCCUGUCACAGGGAGUCAGAUCCUGUCUCCAUCCUGUCACAGGGAGUCAGAUCCUGUCUCCAUCCUACACAGGAGUCAGAUCCUGUCUCCAUCCUACACAGGAGUCAGAUCCUGUCUCCAUCCUACACAGGGAGUCAGAUCCUGUCUCCAUCCUACACAGGAGUCAGAUCCUGUCUCCAUCCUACACAGGGAGUCAGAUCCUGUCUCCAUCCUACACAGGGAGUCAGAUCCUGUCUCCAUCCUACACAGGGAGUCAGAUCCUGUCUCCAUCCUACACAGGGAGUCAGAUCCUGUCUCCAUCCUACACAGGAGUCAGAUCCUGUCUCCAUCCUACACAGGGAGUCAGAUCCUGUCUCCAUCCUACACAGGAGUCAGAUCCUGUCUCCAUCCUACACAGGGAGUCAGAUCCUGUCUCCAUCCUACACAGGGAGUCAGAUCCUGUCUCCAUCCUACACAGGGAGUCAGAUCCUGUCUCCAUCCUACACAGGG
rnacentral:lncRNA from 1 species